rnacentral:rRNA from 1 species
GAUGAACGCUGGCGGCGUGCCUAAUACAUGCAAGUCGAGCGAACAGACGAGGAGCUUGCUCCUCUGACGUUAGCGGCGGACGGGUGAGUAACACGUGGAUAACCUACCUAUAAGACUGGGAUAACUUCGGGAAACCGGAGCUAAUACCGGAUAAUAUAUUGAACCGCAUGGUUCAAUAGUGAAAGACGGUUUUGCUGUCACUUAUAGAUGGAUCCGCGCCGCAUUAGCUAGUUGGUAAGUUAACGGCUUACCAAGGCAACGAUGCGUAGCCGACCUGGGAGGGUGAUCGGCCACACUGGAACUGAGACACGGUCCAGACUCCUACGGGAGGCAGCAGUAGGGAAUCUUCCGCAAUAGGCGAAAGCCUGACGGAGCAACGCCGCGUGAGUGAUGAAGGUCUUCGGAUCGUAAAACUCUGUUAUUAGGGAAGAACAAAUGUGUAAGUAACUAUGCACGUCUUGACGGUACCUAAUCAGAAAGCCACGGCUAACUACGUG